rnacentral:rRNA from 1 species
AACGAACGCUGGCGGCAUGCCUAACACAUGCAAGUCGAACGAGACCUUCGGGUCUAGUGGCGCACGGGUGCGUAACGCGUGGGAACCUGCCCUUAGGUUCGGAAUAACUCCCCGAAAGGGGUGCCAAUACCGGAUAAUGUCUUCGGACCAAAGAUUUAUCGCCUUUGGAUGGGCCCGCGUUGGAUUAGCUAGUUGGUAGGGUAAAAGCCUACCAAGGCGACGAUCCAUAGCUGGUCUGAGAGGAUGAUCAGCCACACUGGGACUGAGACACGGCCCAGACUCCUACGGGAGGCAGCAGUGGGGAAUAUUGGACAAUGGGCGAAAGCCUGAUCCAGCAAUGCCGCGUGAGUGAUGAAGGCCUUAGGGUUGUAAAGCUCUUUUACCCGGGAUGAUAAUGACAGUACCGGGAGAAGAAGCUCCGGCUAACUCCGU